rnacentral:misc_RNA from 1 species
GUAAUAAUUACAUUGUUACUGACACUGACUGCAACUACAGGUGGUUUGAGUGAGUCCAACGGAUGGGCAAGCCCACCAAGGAAACAAAUAGUACGCAAAAAACAUGGGUAGAAUCAGAGCAGGACGGGGCCAACGAGUAGAGCAUAAGCCCAGAACGCUGACCACAGUCCCCUGAUAGAAGGGUAAUGAUCCUUCCGCAGGUUCACCUACGGAAA